rfam:Planctomycetes bacterium GWC2_45_44 gwc2_scaffold_6133, whole genome shotgun sequence.
GGGCGGUUAGCUCAGUUGGUUAGAGCGCCUGCUCGACAAGCAGGAGGCCGAUGGUUCGAGUCCAUUACUGCCCA